GCCUGGGUGGCUCAGUCGGUUGAGCAUCCGGCUUCGGCUCAGGUCAUGAUCUCACAGCUCGUGGGUUCGAGUCCCGCAUCAGGUU
rfam:Felis catus isolate Cinnamon breed Abyssinian chromosome B1, whole genome shotgun sequence.